rnacentral:rRNA from 1 species
UACCAGCACCCCGAGUGGUCGGGACGUUUAUUGGGCCUAAAGCAUCCGUAGCCGGUUCUACAAGUCUUCCGUUAAAUCCAACUGCUUAACAGGUGGGCUGCGGAAGAUACUAUAGAGCUAGGAGGCGGGAGAGGCAAGCGGUACUCGAUGGGUAGGGGUAAAAUCCGUUGAUCCAUUGAAGACCACCAGUGGCGAAGGCGGCUUGCCAGAACGCGCUCGACGGUGAGGGAUGAAAGCUGGGGGAGCAAACCGGA